GCUCUAGUGACUCCUUCUGGCGGGCCGGGCGCCAUCAAGCUGACUUUGGUCGUCAGGUGGACAGUGUUUUCUCCGAAACAUUGGUGUCAAGAAGCAGUGCGGAUUCUACUGGGUUAUAGCGGAGCAACAGUCUCCUGGGGUUAUAGUGGAGCAGCAGUCUACUGGGGUUAUAGAGGAGCAACAGUCUACUGGGGUUAUAGUGGAGCAACAGUCUACUGGUCUACUGGGGUUAUAGUGGAGCAGCAGUCUACUGGGUUUUAGUGGAGCAGCUGAGUCUGUUGUAUAAGUCUCACUGGGCAACUGGUUGAGAUGUAGGCUACUAUAAAGGUAAAACUAUAUAACAUGUACCUUUGGGAAAGAUACUCGACCAAAUACUCAAAACUAUAUAGAUAAUCCUAUAUCAUAAUGUAACAACUACACAAACUCACAACAAACCACUGCACAGAUCCCAGUCUACUUGCUACUUGAGAUUUCAAUAAAAAAUGACAUAAAGGAUAUAGAUAAAGCAGCACAAUACUG
ensembl:lncRNA